rnacentral:rRNA from 1 species
UGCCAGCAGCCGCGGUAAUACGGAGGGUGCAAGCGUUGUUCGGAAUUACUGGGCGUAAAGCGUGCGUAGGCGGUUAGAUAAGUCGGGUGUGAAAGCCCAGGGCUCAACCCUGGGAAUUGCAUUCAAUACUGCCAAACUAGAAUGUGGGAGAGGGAAGUGGAAUUUCCGGUGUAGCGGUGAAAUGCGUAGAUAUCGGAAGGAACACCAGUGGCGAAGGCGGCUUCCUGGCCCAACAUUGACGCCGAGGCGCGAAGGCGUGGGUAGCGAACGGGAUUAGAUA